AAUACAUAAAAAUAAUAAAUACAUAAAUAGAUAAAUGAAUGAAUGAAUGAAUGAAUGAAUGAAUAAAACAGAAUGGCAGUUGAGUGUCUUGUGAAUCUCUUGCCUUUAGUCUUUAUGAUCCCAUCCACGCGGGAACCUAUGAGUCUCCUGUUAAGCAGAAAAAAUUCUUUCCUGCUGAGAUCUGGCAGGUGGUUCCGGUAACACCUUUCUCGUCUAGGAAGUAGUUCAAUUAUUUCCACCUUCGACAAGGUGCUGGCCUUACUCGCCAAGAGGACAGAGGGAUUGGAGUUGCCAGCGCCCCCACCCCCACGUGGGGUGCGGUGUCUGCAAACAGCCUUGCUCUCAAGUAUAAAUUCCCCUCUUUCUCGGAAGAGCAGCAGUGUCCGAGGCAUUGGCAUGCAAAUACUUGCAAAGUGAAAAUGGAUACACUUCCACGGCUCCUCAUCCCUGGCCUCCGAGGACAGCUUGCCAACUGCGCGUGCGUGUUGGGUUGGCACCGUGACAAAUGUUCCCUGGAGCAUAGACGGGAACUACCAAACUGAUACCACGUGGGACGCCAGCCAAAUCCUGACCUUGCUCCCUGUAGGUGAGCGGCUGUGGAAUUCACCUGUGAUGGUCUCCGGCUCCCACCAGAUGUGUCUAGGAGAUACUGUGGACUCAGUUCCAGACCAUCGCCAUAAAGCAAACAAUUCAAUAAACUGGAAGCAAAGGACUCCAAGAUGGGAAAAGCCACACAAUGGAGGGAUCCCAGCAUGCACCAGAUGUUCACGAGUGUCCUGACCUCUCUGGUCACUGAACUUGGAGUCGUCGUCCAUGCAUUCCUGCUCCUGCUCCUGCUGUUCCGCUGUGCAGAAAGCCUUUCCCUGCACUUCCCGUGGAAUGUCUGCACAGUUGUUACCACGGCUUGGCUGCUCCCCUAGGCAGAGCUGUCUCUCCGGAGGAUUACUGCAAUUGCCUACUAACGGGUCUCUCAGUUUCUUCUCUUACCCACCUGCCAUUCCCCACAUAGCCAUUGGGGUGAUCAUAACAUCCAGGUGGGGCACCUGGAUGGCUCAGUCAGUUGAGCAUCUGACUUUGACUCCAGUCAUGAUCUUGCGGUUCGUGAGUUCAAGCCCCACGUCGAGCUCACUGCUG